rnacentral:rRNA from 1 species
GACGAACGCUGGCGGCGUGCUUAACACAUGCAAGUCGAACGGAAAGGCCCUGCUUUUGUGGGGUGCUCGAGUGGCGAACGGGUGAGUAACACGUGAGUAACCUGCCCUUGACUUUGGGAUAACUUCAGGAAACUGGGGCUAAUACCGGAUAGGAGCUCCUGCUGCAUGGUGGGGGUUGGAAAGUUUCGGCGGUUGGGGAUGGACUCGCGGCUUAUCAGCUUGUUGGUGGGGUAGUGGCUUACCAAGGCUUUGACGGGUAGCCGGCCUGAGAGGGUGACCGGCCCCAUGGGAACUGAGAUACGGCCCAGACGCCUACGGGAGGAAGCGGUGGGAAUAUUGCACAAUGGGCGGAAGCCUGAUGCAGCAACGCCGCGUGCGGGAUGACGGCCUUCGGGUUGUAAACCGCUUUCGCCUGUGACGAAGCGUGAGUGACGGUAAUGGGUAAAGAAGCACCGGCUAACUACGUG